GAUGAACGCUGGCGGCGUGCCUAAUACAUGCAAGUCGAGCGAACGGACGAGAAGCUUGCUUCUCUGAUGUUAGCGGCGGACGGGUGAGUAACACGUGGAUAACCUACCUAUAAGACUGGGAUAACUUCGGGAAACCGUAGCUAAUACCGGAUAAUAUUUUGAACCGCAUGGUUCAAAAGUGAAAGACGGUCUUGCUGUCACUUAUAGAUGGAUCCGCGCUGCAUUAGCUAGUUGGUAAGGUAACGGCUUACCAAGGCAACGAUGCAUAGCCGACCUGAGAGGGUGAUCGGCCACACUGGAACUGAGACACGGUCCAGACUCCUACGGGAGGCAGCAGUAGGGAAUCUUCCGCAAUGGGCGAAAGCCUGACGGAGCAACGCCGCGUGAGUGAUGAAGGUCUUCGGAUCGUAAAACUCUGUUAUUAGGGAAGAACAUAUGUGUAAGAAACUGUGCACAUCUUGACGGUACCUAAUCAGAAAGCCACGGCUAACUACGUG
rnacentral:rRNA from 1 species